CGAAAGCCUGACGGAGCAACGCCGCGUGAGGGAUGAAGGCCUCUGGGCUGUAAACCUCUUUUAUCAAGGAAGAAGAUCUGACGGUACUUGAUGAAUAAGCCACGGCUAAUUCCGUGCCAGCAGCCGCGGUAAUACGGGAGUGGCAAGCGUUAUCCGAAAUUAUUGGGCGUAAAGCGUCCGCAGGCGGCCCAGAAAGUCUGCUGUUAAAACGUGGAGCUUAACUCCAUCAUGGCAGUGGAAACUGUGGGGCUUGAGUGUGGUAGGGGCAGAGGGAAUUCCCGGUGUAGCGGUGAAAUGCGUAGAUAUCGGGAAGAACACCAGUGGCGAAGGCGCUCUGCUGGGCCAUAACUGACGCUCAUGGACGAAAGCCAGGGGAGCG
rnacentral:rRNA from 1 species